rnacentral:lncRNA from 1 species
GGGCACACGCACAGACAGAGAUACAGACCCACAGACACAGGGAGAUGCACAUCCAUGGAUGCACAGAGAUACAAACGGCCCGCGGCCUGCCCGGACACACCGCCGGGCUCGGCGGUGCCGCCAGCCGCGGGCUCUGAGCGACGGGCGGCACGCUCCGUGACCAGGAACGUCUCUCGUUGCAGGACGAAGAGCGGGAGCGCCUGAAUGCAGCGUUCGCUUCGACUGUGAAGCUGAUGAGAGGAGUCUCAAAGGAAUGCCAGAAGUACUAUGGUGCUGUGGCAGCCAACAAGUACAAAGAGAAUGAAAUCAAACACUUCUGCAAAUACCAUGGCAAGUCAGCAGAAAGAAAGACAGACUCCACAGAAGAAGAGAGGACUGAAGGUUCUGUAGAACCCCGCCAAGCUCAAACUUGCUGUCAAAGACCCAGAAGACCUUCCAAAGACUUCUACAUUGAAGUUUCUCCUGGUGUCUAUUCUGUCACAGCAAUCUCAGAAGACAUGGUGGAACAAACCCACGUAGUAGAUGUCAAUGCAGGACAAAGUAUUGAUUUAACUUUUGUUCUGUGAUAUUUGUUGUCUCCUGGCAAUAGCAGGAAUAAAACACGAGGCUCAUUUUAAUGCA